GCGUGCGCUGCUAUACUGCAGUCGACGCUUUUUUCAAUCAUCGUAGGCUUGCUACACCGAUUGAAAAUUGAGUGGCGAACGGGUGAGUAACACGUGGGUAACCUGCCCAAAAGAGGGGGAUAACACUUGGAAACAGGUGCUAAUACCGCAUAACCAUGAUGACCGCAUGGUCAUUAUGUAAAAGAUGGUUUCGGCUAUCACUUUUGGAUGGACCCGCGGCGUAUUAACUUGUUGGUGGGGUAACGGCCUACCAAGGUAAUGAUACGUAGCCGAACUGAGAGGUUGAUCGGCCACAUUGGGACUGAGACACGGCCCAAACUCCUACGGGAGGCAGCAGUAGGGAAUCUUCCACAAUGGGCGCAAGCCUGAUGGAGCAACGCCGCGUGAGUGAAGAAGGUCUUCGGAUCGUAAAACUCUGUUGUUAGAGAAGAACAUGCGAGAGAGUAACUGUUCUUGUAUUGACGGUAUCUAACCAGAAAGCCACGGCUAACUACGUGCCAGCAGCCGCGGUAAUACGUAGGUGGCAAGCGUUGUCCGGAUUUAUUGGGCGUAAAGGGAACGCAGGCGGUCCUUUAAGUCUGAUGUGAAAGCCUUCGGCUUAACCGAAGAAUUGCAUUGGAAACUGGAGGACUUGAGUGCAGAAGAGGAGAGUGGAACUCCAUGUGUAGCGGUGAAAUGCGUAGAUAUAUGGAAGAACACCAGUGGCGAAAGCGGCUCUCUGGUCUGUAACUGACGCUGAGGUUCGAAAGUGUGGGUAGCAAACAGGAUUAGAUACCCUGGUAGUCCACACCGUAAACGAUGAAUGCUAAGUGUUGGAGGGUUUCCGCCCUUCAGUGCUGCAGCUAACGCAAUAAGCAUUCCGCCUGGGGAGUACGACCGCAAGGUUGAAACUCAAAGGAAUUGACGGGGGCCCGCACAAGCGGUGGAGCAUGUGGUUUAAUUCGAAGCAACGCGAAGAACCUUACCAG
rnacentral:rRNA from 1 species